UUUCCGGUUGAUCCCGCCGGAGGCCACUGCUAUUGGGGUUCGACUAAGCCAUGCGAGUCUAUGGACUUCGGUCCAUGGCGGACGGCUCAGUAACACGUGGCUAACCUACCCUCAGGUGGGGGAUAACCUCGGGAAACUGAGGGUAAUACCCCAUAGGGGAAGAGGUCUGGAAUGAUCCUUCCUUGAAAGGACAUCCGCCUGAGGAUGGGGCUGCGUCCGAUUAGGUAGUUGGUGGGGUAAUGGCCCACCAAGCCUACGACCGGUACGGGCCUUGAGAGAGGAAGCCCGGAGAUGGGGACUGAGACACGGCCCCAGGCCCUACGGGGCGCAGCAGGCGCGAAACCUCCACAAUGCACGAAAGUGCGAUGGGGGAACCCCAAGUGCCUAUGCACAGCAUAGGCUUUUCCCAAGUGUAAACAGCUUGGGGAAUAAGGGCUGGGCAAGUCCGGUGCCAGCGGCCGCGGUAACACCGGCGGCCCGAGUGGUGGCCACUCUUAUUGGGCCUAAAGCGUCCGUAGCCGGUCCAGUAAGUCCCUGUUUAAAUCCUACGGCUCAACCGUAGGGUUGGCAGGGAUACUGCUGGACUUGGGACCGGGAGAGGACGAGGGUACUCCAGGGGUAGCGGUGAAAUGUGUUGAUCCCUGGAGGACCACUUAUGGCGAAGGCACUCGUCUGG
rnacentral:rRNA from 1 species